CAUCACCAACAAAAUCAGUUGCUUCACAAUGGCCUCUACAACCAUGGCUCUUUCUUCCCCAUCAUUCGCCGGUAAGGCAGUGAAGUUCUCCCCUUCCACCCCUGAAAUCCGGGGAACUGGCCGUGUUUCCAUGAGGAAAACCACCAAGCCUGUUCCUUCUGGUAGCCCAUGGUACGGUCCUGACCGAGUUUUGUACUUGGGUCCACUUUCCGGUGAGCCACCAUCUUACUUGACCGGUGAGUUCCCUGGUGACUAUGGUUGGGACACUGCUGGACUCUCAGCUGAUCCCGAGACCUUUGCUAGGAACCGUGAGCUCGAAGUCAUUCACUGCAGAUGGGCCAUGUUGGGAGCUCUUGGGUGUGUUUUCCCUGAGCUGUUGGCUAGGAACGGUGUCAAGUUCGGUGAAGCUGUAUGGUUCAAGGCCGGGUCUCAAAUCUUCAGUGAGGGUGGACUUGACUACUUGGGUAACCCAAGCUUGAUCCAUGCUCAAAGCAUUUUGGCCAUCUGGGCUUGCCAAGUUAUCUUGAUGGGAGCCGUCGAGGGUUACCGUAUUGCCGGUGGACCACUCGGUGAAGUGACUGACCCAUUGUACCCAGGUGGUAGCUUUGACCCAUUGGGUCUUGCUGAUGACCCAGAGGCAUUCGCUGAGCUCAAGGUGAAAGAGAUCAAGAACGGUAGGUUGGCUAUGUUCUCAAUGUUCGGGUUCUUCGUUCAGGCCAUCGUGACCGGAAAGGGACCAUUGGAGAACUUGGCUGACCACCUUGCUGACCCAGUCAACAACAAUGCUUGGGCCUAUGCCACCAACUUUGUCCCCGGAAAGUGAACUUAGAGAGUGAAAAGGGAUUUGUCUUGUUCAUGUUUUUAUUUGUUGGUGUGAAUGUAAAUUUGUUGCACAAUCAAUGAAAGCAGAAUGUGAAUUUUGUGUGCUCAAAGUUUUUGACUGUUCCAAGUCCAUUUGUUUUAAAAUGAAAUGGUAAAAACAGGUGAAGCACAUGAUGCUAUAGACAAAACGAAAAAUAAAACUGUAAAUUUCGACAAAUGAAAUAUAAAUAAAUUCCCGAAUAAACUUCUCAGCCUUCUAUUUAUCAUUUUGAGAACUAGACAAUGUUGCAGAGACCACUUACAUAUAGGUAUUUAAAGUUACUCUGAUGAGACAGAAGACAAUGUGUGUGUAUAUAUAUAUACAUAAAGCUUUAUCAAUGAUAUGAAUGGUGUUACUAAAUGUAACUAUGAACUGGAUAAAGGUGCAAUGAAUACCGAACUCACCAAUGCAGGUUUAAUGUUACUGACCUUCACUUAUAACCAAUGUCGACAAAUCAGGGCUGCUUUCGAUUGUUCUUUUCUACUUGUCCACUUAAAUAUAACUUAAUUGUUACUCGCUUGGGCCCUUGCUCUCGAAAUAGACUUGGCAUAAAGUUCUUCGUAUCGUGAAGCUGAAGAAUCCCAGCUGAAAUCUAUAUUCAUGUUCUUUUGAACGAGUUGUUUCCAACUCUCUUUAUUGUUCUUGUAGAAAUUAAAUGCACGCUCCAAGGCACCGUUUAUUCCCUGUCAGGUUUUUAACGUCAUCCAAGGUUUAAGCAUAUGAUAGAGAACCAAAGCAAUUAAGUUGGAAUGUCGGCAAAUCAUGUUUCAAGAAUUCCUAGAGUUACCUGUUCAUCAGGAGUUGUAAAUGUAAAUCCGUUUCGAAUUUGAUUAGGUAUUGUCUCCUCAUUGACAUCGAAAACGCUAUAGAAGAAAGAUUAGAAAAGAAUUGAGAUUUAUGAUUUUACGGUCAAGUAACUUCAUAUUAGUGGAUUUACUUACAUGCAUAUAAUUCGAGUAAAGUAGUUUACCUGUCAUUUAGACCGCCAGUUUUUCUUGCAAUGGGUACUGAACCAUAUCUCAUUGCUAUCAUCUGGGUGAAAAAAGAAAACACACUGUUAAGCUUUGGCCUACAUUGCAACAGGAGACCAGUAGCUUCUCAGCACAACACCAGCAGCAACACUGCUUGAAGUGCAGAAAUGGAGCUGAACCGAAUGCAGCAAUAUGCUUUGAUCAUUUUGUUCCGAUGUAAUUUUGUCUAAUUCAUUUGUAAUUUGUUCACAAAGUUAGUAAGAUUAGUUCAUGAUUUGAGUUGAUGUAAUAGUUGAUAUGCCAGCUACCUUUUGUGUGUAAUUCAAGCAAAUGUUAGUCUUGUAUUAGUGGGAGCAGUUAAGUCAUUAGGUAAUUGCCCAUUACUCUGUAACUCAUAUAUUAUUCAAAUUUUGAAUGAAAAAUUAAGUGGUGAAUUUUCAGUUAUCAUUUUUGCAAGGUUUUCAUUCUGUUUUUGCUUUGAUUCUCCUAUUUUUGUUUUGCUACUUUGCCUUUUGUUUGCUGCCAAUGUUUCAACAAAUGGUAAUCAGAGCCUGUCAUCUUUGAAGGUCUUUGUUAUUGGUUGUUUUCUGUCAAAACAAAAUUGAGAAGAGAGAAAUCGAAGCUGUUGAGUUUGUUUCAGCAGAAUGAGUUUUACACCACCUCCACCACCUGUGUUUACUGGAGAGAACUACCACAUUUGGGUAGUUAAGAUGAGGACAUACCUUCAGGCACACGAUUUGUGGAAUGUGAUCGAGAAUGAUGUUGAUCCACCUCCAUUGAGGUUCAAUCCCACCAUUGCUCAGAUGAGGCAACACAGUGAAGAGUGCUCCAAGAAGCAUAAAGCAAUGGCUUGCUUGUAGAAUAGAGUAUCAGAUGUGAUCUUCACUAGGAUAAUGGCUUGUGACUCACCUAAGCAGGCAUGGGAGAAACUGAAGGAGGAGUUCAUGAGGUUAGACAAAACCAGGCAGCAACAAGUGAUUAAUCUCAAGAGAGAUUUUGAGAAUUUGAAGAUGAAAGAGUCAGAGACUAUCAAGCAGUACUUAGACAGAAUAAUGGCCACUGUCAACAACAUUAGGCUCCUUGGAGAAGACUUUAGUGAGAGCAGAGUUGUUGAAAAGGUCAUCACCACUCUCCCUGAGAAGUUUGAGUCAAAGAUUUCAUCACUUGAGGACUCGAAAGACUUGUCAGCUAUCUCAUUGUCUGAGCUGAUAAACUCUCUGUAUGCACUUGAGCAAAGGAGGGUCAAUAGGCAGGAAGAGUAUCCUGAAGGAGCUUUCUAGGCAAAGGUCAAAGUAGGCUUAGGUUCAAAUCUGAAAAGGAAGAAGCCUUGGCUCCAUAAAAGGGAAAACAAGGAGAGAUACAGGUAAGAAAGUGAGAACAGAGUUGUUGAAAAGGUUAUCACCACUCUCCCGGAGAAGUUUGAGUCAAAGAUUUCAUCACUUGAGGACUCGAAAAAAUUGUCAGCUAUCUCAUUGUCUGAGCUAAUAAAUUCUCUGUAUGCACUUGAGCAAAGGAGGGUCAAUAGGCAGGAAGAGUAUCCUGAAGGAGCUUUCUAGGCAAAGGUCAAAGUAGGCUCAGGUUCAAAUCUGAAAGGGAAGAAGCCUUGGCUCGAUAAAAGGGAAAACAAGGAGAGAUGCAGGCAAGAAAGUGUUCCCAUCAUGCAUUCACUGCAAGAAGACCACACAUUUGGAGAAGUACUGUUGGUACAGGCCAAACAUUCAGUGCAGAAGCUACAAACAGUUUGGCCGUGUUGAGAAAGUGUGCAGAAGCAAAGGGAAGGAACCAGCUUAGCAGCAAGCACGAGCUGCUAAGGAUUUUCAAGCUCAGGAGGAGCAUGUUUUCACAGCUUCUUGCUUUGCAAACUCAAGCAAAGUCAGAUGUGACUGGUUAGUGGACAGUGGCUGCUCACACCACAUGGUAGCUGAUAAGAAGCUGCUCAAAGACCUUGAUAGAAGUUUUGCUGCAAAAAUUAGAAUUGGUAAUGACAAUUUGAUUGAAGUUCAAGGAAGAGGAGAUGUUGUGAUCAACACUUGUUCAGAUAACAAAAUCAUUUCUGAUGUGUUUUUUGUGCCUGACAUAAAUCAGAAUCUGCUUAGUGUUGGUCAGUUAGUGGAAAAAGGGUAUUCUUUGAUCUUUAAAGAUGGCUCUUGUAUUGUUAAGGACUCACUUGGUCAGGAGUUAGUCACAGUAGCAAUGAUAGAUAGGUGUUUUAUGCUCGAUGUAAAUCAACUCGAGAAGAAGGCUUACAUUAGCCUUGCUGAUAACACUGGUCUUUGACAUAGGAGACUAGGCCAUUUCAAUUUUAGAUCACUUGAUCUGUUGGAUAAGCUGAAUUUGGUAGAAGACAUGUCAAAAGUUGAACCAAGAGACAUUGUUUGUGAAGUCUGCCAGCUUGGAAAGCAGGCUAGAUUGCCUUUUCCAGCUAACAGUGCAUAAAGAGCUCGAGAAAGGCUUGAAUUGGUUCAUUCUGAUGUUUGUGGGCCAAUGAAGACUUCUUCAUUGAAUGACAGUAAGUAUUUUGUUCUAUUUAUAGAUGACUUAACUAGGUUUUGUUGGGUUUAUUUCUUGAGGCAGAAAUCUGAAGUGUUUGAAGCAUUCAGCAAAUUCAAAGCCUUAAUUGAAAACCAGACUGAUUAUAAGAUCAAAACUUUGAGAACUGAUAAUGGCACUGAGUAUCUAUCUAAUAGAUUUCAGAAACUGUGUGAGCAAGCUGGGAUUCAUCAUCAACUAACAACAGUUUAUACUCCUCAACAGAAUGGAGUAUGUGAGAGGAAGAAUAGAACUGUGCUUGAUAUGGCCAGAUGUCUGUUAUUUCAGAGCAAGCUGCCAAGCAAAUUUUGGGCUGAGGUAGUCAAUACCUCAGUUUACCUACUCAAUAAGCUGCCAACUCACAAUGUCAAGGACAAGACUCCUUUUGAAGCUUGGCAUGGACUUAAGUCAAUCGUUUCACACUUGAAAGUGUUUCUGUUUGCCUUGGCCGCUCACAAACAAUGGAAAGUUCACCAGUUAGAUGUUAAGUCAGCAUUUCUGAAUGGUUUUCUUAAGGAGGAGAUUUUUAUUGAGCAACCAGAUGGGUUUAAGGUCCUAGGAGAAGAGGACAAGGUCUAUAAGUAGAAAAAGGCUCUGUAUGGCCUAAAGCAGGCACCAAGAGCCUGGUAUGACAGGGUUGACAUAUACCUGUCUAGGCUUGGGUUUGAGAAAAGUGUUAGUGAAGCUACACUUCAUGUGAAGAGGUCAGAAAAUGAGACAUUGCUGAUUGUUUCUCUCUAUGUGGAUAACUUAGGGUGAGUUUGGAUGGGCGGUGCGUUUACUUGCGGUUAGUGUAAAAACAGCGGUAGCGGUGAGAUUAGAUACUGUAGUGAUACUGUAGCGUGAGACAAAAAGUAAGCUAAACGCACCAUACCGCACCCAAUCGUCCAUCCAAACCCACCCUUACUUGUGACUGGAAGCAAAGAAGAACUGAUUAGCGAAUUUAAAGUGCAAAUGCAAGAGGUGUUUGAAAUGACAGACUUGGGAGUCAUGACAUACUUCCUUGGUAUGGAAGUGAAUCAAUCUUAUCAAGGCAUUUUCAUUAGCCAACAUGCCUUUGCUUUGAAGAUUCUCAAUAAAUUUUGCAUGCUAAAUUGCAAAACAAUCAGCACACCUGUGGCUCAAGAGGAGAAACUGAGUAGCAGUGGGAAUCAAGAGAGGGUUGAUAUUAUGUUUGGUGUUAUCUUUUGUAAAGAUUUAUGCACUGCUGUGAUGUGGUUCAUUUCAAAGCAGCUAGGAGGAUCCUCAAAUAUGUCAAAGGAACCUUAAGCCAUGGAGUUAAGUUUGAGAAGGAAAAUGAGCUUAAGCUAGCAGGAUAUUCUGAUAGUGAUUGGGCUGGCUCUGUCGAUGACAUGAAAAGCACCUCUGGUUAAUUCUUCAUACUUGGAUCAGGAGUUUUCUGCUAAAGCUCAAAAAAGCAACAAACUGUUGCUCAGUCCACAGCUGAGGCAGAAUACAUUGCAGCUGCUGCAGCUGUUAAUUAAACCAUUUGGCUUAGGAAGCUCGUGUAUGAUCUAAAUAAAGAACUGGCUGAACCAACUAAAAUCAAAGUUGAUAACCAGUCAACAAUUGCCAUAACCAAAAAUCCAGUCUUUCAUGGUAAGACUAAACAUUUCAAGAUCAAAUUUCAUUUUGUUCGAGAGGCUGAGCAAUCAAAAGAAGUUAGUCUUGUUCAUUAUAGCUCUGAUAUAUUCAAGAUGAUUACGUAUUUACAAAAUACCGUCUCAAUUCAUCCUAUUUCAUCAGAUCCGGGAUGUGAUAUAGUUCCGAAGGAUAAAUUGGAAAAUUCCAAUAAGAUUUCAUUCUUGAACAAAAAUCCAUUUUUUGAUUUAUUUCAUCUAUUCCAUGACCAGAACAGGAGGGGAUACACGUUACACCACGAUUUUGAAUCAGAACAGAGAUUUUAAGAAAUGGCAGAUCUAUUCACUCUAUCAAUAACCGAGCCAGAACUCAAUUGGCUGAUAUACUGACCAAGCCAUUAGGAGCUACCAGAUUUGAAACUUUGAGAAAGAAAAUUGGUGUUUGUUGCAUACAGUCCAAGGAGGAGUGUUAAGCUUUGGCCUACAUUGCAACAGGAGACCAGUAGCUGCUCAGCACAACACUAGCAGCAACACUGCUUGAAGUGCAGAAAUGGAGCUAAACCGAAUGCAGCAUUAUGUUUUGAUCAUUUUGUUCCUAUGUAACUUUGUCUAAUUCAUUUGUAAUUUGUUCACAAAGUUAGUAAGAUUAGUUCAUGAUUUGAAUUGAUGUAAUAGCUACCUUUUAUGUGUAAUUCAAGCAAAUGUUAGUCUUGUAUUAGUAGGAGCAGUUAAGUCAUUAGGUAACUGCCCAUUACCUUGUAACUCAUAUUAUUCAAAUUUUGAAUGAAAAAUUAAGUGGUGAAUUUUCAGUUAUCAUUUUUGCAAGGUUUUCAUUCUGUUUUUGCUUCGAUUCUCCUGUUUUUGUUUUGCUACUUUGCCUUUUGUUUGCUGCCAAUGUUUCAACACACUCCUAGUAGUUAUUUAUUAUUCAACAAGAUUGCUCUAGCUGAAGUUUGGAGUUUGGAGCAUACCUGUGUAAGGCCACAAGGUUCAAAAAUAGAUGGGAUGAUGAACAUGUCAGAUGCUGCGUAAAUGGCAUGAGAAAGAGACUCGUCAUAUUUUAGUAUUAGCCGAAUGUGUUCGUGGUUUUGGAAUUGGUUUGCUAUACCCUCAAAUUCCCUCUGAAAACAAAUAAAAGAACAAGAAAAUGUAAAGGAAAAUCUCAGUGUACUAAGUAUGGAACAGGAAAAGGAUCAACUUAAAAUAAAACAAAUAACUCCGCAUGGCCCGAUAUGCCUGAAUGGAGUUUUUAUUGUUUUUAUAGCUUUCAUUCAUGCAAGCAGAAAGAAAUCCGUUGUUCACAUAGAGAAAACAGCAGUAGAGAUUCACCUGAAUGUGGAGAACUGGACUUGAACCAAGAAGUACAAACUGACCGCCCAUCUCCAAUGUUCGAUAUAUGGCAUGUUUAAUCAGAUGAACACCUUUCUGUGGCACCAAUCUUGUUAUGCAGCCUACCUAUUCAAUAGUAAAAGACUUCGAGUAAGAAUCUAGGCAGUAUUCAGCUAAGAAAUAAUAAGAACCUCCUAUAAUGCUGUGUUAUUGGAACCUAAAGGUGACCUUAAACUUACAUUGUAACUCAAAAGCUUUCAUAGAGAAUAUAUAAUACAUCUUAGCAAUGUUGAUAUAACAAAUAAAGACUUCAGAAAUAAAAUUACCAAUGGCCGUUGAUCAUCAGCAGAUGAAAGCCCUAGAUUCCUUCUCAUUGCAGCUUUAUUUUCUGCUUUCCCUUGCAUAUCAUUAGCACUAUACUGCACUUUGAGAAAAUUAUCGGUGGCAGGAUUCCAUGCAUCAGUAUCGAUCCCAUUUAAGAUUCCCAUGAACUUUCUUGAGUGAGAAUUCAGUGUUGAAUGGAGGCCUUUUCCUCCCUGUAAAAGUUAGGGACAUGAUUUUGUAGUUCAACCUUAAAAUUAUAAAAGGAAGACCAUGUUCUUGAAAGAAAAACUACAAAAUAUUCUUACCUCAGCAGUUCGGACUUCUUGUGCAUAAGUGGGUGAUACUGUCGUCACUAUGUUAGAGAACACAAUUGCACCCUGAAAAGAAGGAAACUUAGAAAAAAGAACAGAAAGAAACUCUAUUUGUUAUAGGCUUAUAGCCAAACCAGUGAUUACAGCACCUUAACAGGAUUGACACUGUCAUGUGCUGUGUUAUCCUGCAUCCUAUCAGGUCUAUUUAACUCCUGGGCAUCCAGACCACAUGAUGCCAAUUCUGAAGCAGAUGCAGUCCCUUGGUACUCAAAGUUAUGGCAUGUAAAACAUAUUCGAGCUGAAUUUAAACCUUUUGGAGCAUACAAGUCCCAAUAAAGUGGUGCCUGAAAAUGUAGUCAGAAACACACCAGUCAACAGAACAUUAAAUUGAAUACCGAAAGAAACAUGAGGCCAAAAUGUCUUACAACAAAAGCUGUCUGCCAAUCAUGGCAGUGAAUUAUAUCUGGUUUCUUGCCAGCUUGAAGAAGAAACUCGAGUGCCGCGCGACUGAAAAAUGAAAAACGCUUGAAAUCAUCAUGCUCUCCAUAAUAUUGACCUCUCCAGAAGAACUUGUUGGGAUGAUGAGGCUCAAUAAAAUAAACAGGAAGGCCUGUGAAUUUAAUAGCACAUUCAGAAAGCAAAGCUAAUAGAUAACAUGCAACUAGAAAGGAAAGAAGAGAUUCUCACCUUCAACAGUACCAACCCAAAUUUUAUUUUGAAAUAGUUUGCCAUCAAAAUAUGACUCUACAGUCACAUCUAAGGCCUGUCAAAAAAAUAAAAUAAAAUCAUCACAAGCAUAUAUUGGCCUAUGAUCUUAGUGCAUCUCAAAUAUGCUAACAUACCCUUAAGUCAUAAAUGCCGUCAUAUUGCAUACAAUCAUAUUUUGGAAGAAUAAUCUCUACAAGGUGUCCUUUCUUCUGCAGUGUUUUACCAAGACCAGUCACAACAUCUCCCAAACCACCAACCUGAUUAAAAAUUAUUGAAUUAAGAGAACAGAGCAACAGAAAGAAAUCCUCCAAACUAGUAUGUAAGAAUAUGCAAGUGGAAAAAUAUUGUACAAGCUAGCUAGAAGCAAAAGUCAGAAGACAAUUAUUGAACAUUCAUUUCUCAGUAUUAGGAAUUUGGAGAUCAAUUUUAUAAACAGAUAAAAUAACAAUUCUAGCAAAGAAAUUGACAUGUAGAGAUAUAUUUAGUAAUUAUUAAAAGACCCAAAGGGUAGUAGGCUAGUUGCUAACAAAUGGAGAAAAGAAAAUGCAGAAACAAAAUCAUGUCACCAUUGAGACAUUCCUGGUCACAUAAAACAGCCAGCUACCCAGCCAUCCAGGUUCAAACACAAGAUCACAAAUAUACACUUGCAAGCACCCAGGCAGUGAUUUCCAGCGGCACAAAGGUACACAGGCAUUGGUGAUUAUACACUAUCAACUUCUUUCAAGCAGAUUGAAACCAUGCAUAGUCUUUAUGCAUAAUUCCAGUUAAGACUUCCCAAGGAGCUUCGUUCCUUGGAAUUUAAGAGCAAAAAGUGAAAGCUACACUAGGGGUGUUUGAAAUAGAUGAGGAUGAAUUUCCCAGCAAAAUAUGGAAAAUAAAAUGAAAACUUUAAGCUUGUUUGAUCAAGGUAAGCAAUAGGCAAAGGAGAUCCAAGAAAACUGCUAAAAGGUCUGUCCAUUGGUAAGUAAAGUUGUAAAGUUGUACUUCAUAUAAAAAGCAAGUGGAUUAACAAGUAAAAUGAAGAUGUCUAAUUCAAUGAAAUUUUAAAAGGAAGAAUUUGUUUUCGACCUUUAACAAAAGAAUCCAAGCCAUAAAGUACAGCUUUAGAUUAACCUAGACAUCGCUGUACUGCUUAGUAAUUGAACUCCAGAAGGAAAGAACAGUAGACUCUGUACAUCUGUCAGCAUUAGCUAAUAAACACGAAAUAUUUAGUGAAAACAAUGCAGUGUCUUCCAUUAUGAUUUACUGAGAAACAACUCAAAGUGUAACUGGGAAUGCAUAAACAAUCAUAACUGUUGUAGUAUAAUCAUAGGAGAAUCCAUUGGUGAACAUGGAAAACCACAGAGGAUGUGGAAAAGAACAGUUGCAAGCAAGUAUAUUAAGGCCACAAGAUUAAAGAAAAAGUAAAACGCAAUAUGUUAAGAUGCUCCUCUAUCUUACAGCUUUUUAUUAUAAAAAAUGCAAACUAUGCAAGGCAUUGGAACCAGGAAAAUAUCAGCAACACCUAGAAAGAAAUUAACAAUCUAAUAAAUACAUUGUUCAUUUUGACACAGUUAAUCAAAUAAGAGUCAGCAAAUCUAUGAGAAUACAACAUUAGAUAUGGACAUGGGUUAAGGGUUUGAAGGUGAAAAAAGACUAGAAAGGAUAAGACCUCUUACAAUGUAUGUUCAUUAAGAUUAGCCAAGAAAGCAACAAAUAUGAGGGGCUAAGUCUUACCUUAGCAACUGGUGCCAUCUCAGCGGCAAUAUGAACGAUGUACAACCCUGGACUAAAGACAAAAAGAUGGACAAGUUAAAAAAAAGCAGUAAUGCAUUAAAAUUGAUUAGUUAAAGGUAAGCACCUAGCUUGUGAGGAUGCAAGCCGGAGAAAUGUAGAUAUGACUUCACGCUCAUUCUUUUCUUUGCAUGCAAUAUGUGCAUCACGAAUGCAUCGAUCCUUCUUCCACACCAGUUCUCUCAAAAGCUUUGCAUCACUGUUUGAUAUUUUCUUCUCAAGCACCCAACCAUCAAUAGUAAGCAAUAAGCGGCUCCAAAAUUCUCGAGGCAUAUCAUCAACUAGUGCAUCUGAUGUCCUUUUCUUGCUUUCUUCUUUCAAACUAUUAAGAGUAUCCUGAAAUGCCUCCAGAGAUUCUUGAUAUAAUUGGACAAAAGAAUAUAUCUCUUGAUCAGACUUUUGAAGACGCUCCUCUAGUAGUUUUAUCUUUUUCUGUAUGAGUUCAUUUGAUUGUUGCAUUUUGUCAGAUGAUACCUUAAGGACAUUAACCUCUUCAAGAGAUUUUUCCAGUUUAUCAACCUUCUUUCGAAGAUCCUGGUUUUGCUGUAACACUAAAGUGGCUUGAUCAGCCUGUUUAGUUGCCGUAUCGAACAACUGUUGCAAAUUUUCUACCUUUUCCCAUAGCUCCUGGUAUUCAACCUUUAGAGUAGAAAUUUUUGGAGAGUCUUCCUGAGAAACCAAUAGUUUAGACUCCAACUCCUUCACAGAGGACCCUAGAAAAGAGCAUUCAUUUUCCAAUGUUGCCAUGCGUUCAUCAGUGUUCUUGACAUUGCUAAUCAUAGACUUAAGUGCUUGGAUAUCAUUUUUUAGGGCUAGAUUCUCUGUCCUUAAUGAAUCAACCUCCUUGUUAGGAGAAUGAUCAUCAUGUGUUGAAAGCAAUUCCUCAUUCGAAAAUUUCUUUUGAUUCUCAUAUAGUUCAAGCUCACCCCUGUCAGUUAACUCAUUUCGCAACAUCUCUAAUUGACUUUCUAGGAACUCGACAUGUAUCUUUCCUUGAGAAGCAACUUUAAUCCGUGCAUCAGCCUCUGCCAAUCUCAUUUCCAAAAUGUUAAUUUCUCCUUGCAAAGUCUCCUUCUCAUCAAGAACUUUAUGAAUAUCUUCUAGCGCAUGAACCCGUGCUUGAUUGAGAACAAGGAUAUCUACAUAUUUAGAAACAAAUGAAUGUGAUGAUAUGUAUAUAUCUCGAGUUGCAUACACAAAUAAGAUCUACAUAGAUAUAAAUUCAACAGUUUCUUAACAGCAAGUUAUCUUACUUCUCUCUGCAUUUUUUAUCAUGCCUACCAGGUCCUCUAGUUGCAUACUUGAGAGCUGCUCUCCAUUUAUGGCCUGCAAAAAAGAAAAUAGCUAUAAUAUUUUAAGUUUAAACCUUUAAUUUAUAUAGUUCUUCCUAAGAAAACAUAACAUAAUAAGUAUAUGACUAUGUAUCUCUUAUAGUUCCAUAACUAACUGUUUCUCCCGAGACCUAAUAAGUUCGUAACUCUAACCUAAAAAGAAAUCAUUUUUAUCAAAACUCUGCAGUAUAUUGUACCAGAUAAAGCAUCAAUAAAAAAAUCAGAUCACUGCUGAAUGGAAAUCUUAAUUAUUAGGGAGAACUCAUAAUUACUAUAAUUGCUGGACACAACAAUUAAGCAAUGGUAAAGGAGUUCAAUUAUUCUUCCACUUCACCAUCAUUCUGUAAAAGUUAAAAAAGAUAAACAAAUCAAACUAAAAUAUCCAAACAGACAAUAAAAAUGUAGCACCAAGCAACACAACCUUAGUCUAGAUUCACUACAGACUUAUUCUGUAAAUGAAAGUACCAAAGCUUUUGUUACAGAAGGCAGCACGAGGCCGUUUAUAAUCUGUUCACUGGUACGCUCCACGUCUCCGGCAGAGACAGAUAGAGUGCCCGAAUUCUGUUCGGCAAUAUUCUCUACAUCUAUCACAGUGUUAACAUCAUCUUUUCCACUCGUUUCGUGAUUUGCAAAAGGCUCCACAUCUACACCAUUUGGAAAAGAAUUUUCAGGUUCAGAUUCCUCAUCCCUAAUCGGCAGCAACUCUGCACUCGUUGGAAUCCGCUCAGGAGGUUUACUCAUUCGUUGCCUUUUAUGAUUUGAACUACAUAAAUAUCAAUAAGAACAUAAAAAAAAAAGUGGAUUAUAAGUUGUUGAUUAAUAUAUUCUAUGAUUUGGAUUGAUCAUAAUCAGUCAAACUCAUUGACUACCCUAAUCAUUAGGUAUAAUUCGCAUUCAAACAUAGAACCAUAUGUCAUUAGUUACUAAUUCCUGCCAUUAAUCUGCACUAAGAAAUCAAAAUUCUGGCAAAUAAUGUCUAGCAUUUACUAUAUCUAGGCCAAACGAAGUUCUAUUCAGUAAAAAAUUUCUCAAACUCGAUCAAGGAUAAAAACAAAAUCGAUCUUUCAAACAAUACCUGAGAUUACGUUGCCGCAUUUUACAAUAAGCUGGGAGGAAUUGACGCGAAGGCAAAAACAGCACCCUCAUAUAUACAUUCUUAUGCUUAUCAACAGUGUUUUUAUAACUACUGUUACUCAAACAACUAAAGCCAUGACUGAAAAAGCAAGCCGAUAACUUUGCAGACAUUUCUUUAUUAUGAUGAUUCUUUUUUCUUUCAAAUGACUGAGAAAAGCUUGUUUUCCCUUUUUCUAUACCAACGAAUUUAAAAGAUAAAUGGGAGGGUAAGAAUAACCGCUUUCUUUGGCAUAACGUAGCUUCCUGCCUGAGAGGGAAAGCUUAGUAUAAAAAAAAUGAAGAUACUAAUUAAUAAAUAUCUUAAAAUGCUGAUAAUAUCUCAGUGGAGGGAAUGAAACUCCUUUUGAUUGAUGACUCCUUUGUUUUAUUGUUAAGGUAUGACUAUUUUCGGUUACAACCUUAUCUAAAUCCAACAUAAUAUAUUUAAAUAUUUUCCUUUGUUCAGUAGAGGAUUUUGAAAGUAUAUUUUAGAUUAUCUUUGGUGUAAUAUUAGAAUUAAUUUUUUAGAAUUUUAAAAAAUUUAAAAUAUCAUAUUUUUUAAAUAAAAAUAUAAUUGAUAUAAGUAUAUUUUUAUUAUAUAAUUAAAUUUGUGAUGAUAAUUUAAGAUAAUUUUAAAUUGAUUUAAUCCGUUUUAAAAAUACAAUAACACCAAUAAAAUAUUAGAUAUUAAUAUUUAAUGUCCAAUAUACUAAAAAAGCUUUUAAACUAUUAUAUUUUGUUUAAAUAAAUCCUAGUUAAAUAAACUCUUAAGUCAUGUUUACUCAUUAAAAAUCCUUAAUUUUAAUAUUAAGGGUAUGUUUGAUUGCCAGUAAAAUAUUUUCCGUAAAAUAAUUUCUGGAAAAUGUUUUACUUUUCUGUAAAAUGAUUUACUGGAAAAUAUUUUCUGGUGUUUGAUUGAAUCUGUGUAAAAUAUUUUCGGCUGUUUGGCAGAUUUCCUGGAAAUAUUUUUCGAAAAAAUUGUUUUUACAUAUAUUGAUAUAUAUUAAUAAAUUUUUAUAUUUUAAAUUAUUUUUACAUAUAUUGCAAUGAUUUAUUUAUAAUAAUACUCAAUUAUUAAGCCACAAUAUUAAUCGUUAUAAAUUGAAAAAAAUUAAUAUCAAAUAAAUUAUUUGUAAUUGUGUUAAAAAAAGUAUUGAAUAAUUAAAAAAAUAAGUUACUGGAAAAUCGAUAAAUAGAAGCAAUUUUCUACCGGAAAUGAAGGAAGGAAUGAAGGAGGCGAUAGAGAGGAGAGCACGGAAAAUGUCUUACGGAAAUUGAAAGGGUAAGACAUUUUCCCUAAAAUAUAACCCAUUUUCCCUUGUUUUGGAGUUCAUUUUCCAAAUGGAAAAUGUUUUCCGCCAAUCAAAUGCUGGAAAAGUUGGAAAUGAUUUUCCGAAAAAUCAAUUCCUUCAAUCAAACAGACCCUAAAAAGUAAAAAUAUGUAAACAUGUUUUAAAAUUUUAAAUUAAUUUACAUUUGAUAAUAAUUUUUUUACCAAAUUAAUGUGUUUAUAGCUCGUAGUAGUGACUCAUCUAUAAUCUAUAUAAAAACAUAAAUUUCAAGAAAAUUUUGAAUUAACAAAAAUAUCCUUUAUUGUUAAUUAUAUUAUUAAUUUGAUAUUAAAAUAAUAAUUAAUCAUUAUGUGAUAAUAUUAAAAGUAAUAUUAAUUGAAUUUUAUAUAAUGAAUUCAUUAGUUAAAUUUUCAAUAUUUAAUUUUUUAACACUUAUUUUUUUAGCAUUUAAAUAAUGAUAAAUUAUUAUUUUAAUAUCAAAUUAAUAAUAUAAUUAACAAUAAAAAAUUUCAAAAGUUUCUCCAACACGCUUUUAUUUAAAUUAUAGAUUAUAAAUAGAGAAUAUGUUUUUGCUUAUGUAAAUUUAUUAUUUACUUCUUUAAUUUAAUUUAAUUUUUGUUGUUUAUUUAAUUUUUUAUAUAAUUCAUGUGAACUUGAUGACUUAGAAAAAAAAUUUACAUGUCAAAUUUUAUUAGCGUAUUUAGCAAUUCACUAAAGACGUUAACAUCAGAUAUCAUAAUAAAAUCCAUAUUGAUAGUUCAAGUACUACAAAAUGCAUGUACCACAUUUGAUAUUUUAUAAAAGUACAGGAACCAAAGGUGGAAUUAUCCCCUUUAAAAAUGUUUAGUUACCUAAAUGAAAAAAUUACCAUGGUUUAAUGGCUACUUUUCUAUUUAGGCCUUCAAACUAUCCCGCAAACUGUGGAUUUGGAGGAACCGCAAAAAAAAAAAUGUUGAAAUCUUAUUCUUUGUAAAAUCCGUUUACUUUUUUAUAUUUUUAUUUUUAUUUCCGCCAAAAUCAGAAAUUCUUCUUCUUAAUGCACUAAUAUUUUCAAUUUCCUCAAAAAAAUCUUCUUCUUAAUUCCAAAUUUAUUGAUCCCUGGAUUUCGAAUCACACAAUUUAAAUUUCCUCUCUUAAUCCUUGUUAAUUAUCUGUUUCAACAAUCAACAUUUAAAUCAAAGCCUCUACUCUGAAUUGUUUUCUUCUUAUAUAUCACUUAGAUCAAGAAAUGGAGAAAAACACUAGCUGUUUUUUCUCCAAUUCAUCUCCAAAUCUUGUAAUCACUUGUUUCGUCGCCUUCAUUACCAUCAUAUUGGUUCGAUUUCUUUACGUUAUUUACCGAACCGGCAAGCCGCUAAACAAAAGAACACCGCAGCAGACUCUCAGCACUCUCAUUGUUUUAGGUUCAGGUACGCUUCAAAUUUCGUUUAUCUGUUUCCUUAUUUGCCUUUAAACUUCACGAUGUUUAAUUAUGAUCUUUGGAUAUUGAUUUAUCGGUAUAGGAGGACACACAGCGGAGAUGAUUAAUCUCUUAUUAGUUUUACAAAAGGAUCGAUUUACGCCGAGGUUUUAUAUCGCCGCCGCUACUGAUAAUAUGAGUCUUCAGAAAGCUCGCAUGUUUGAGAAUUCUUUGGCUGAUUCGGUAAAAUUGGCUACUUCAAAUUUUCAUUAUGUUAUUAAUUGCUACUAGGAUUCUUUUUAGUACUUUCUUUCAUUGGAUUUCAAUUUGUUUAAUGUGGAUUUUUGUUCUUGAGUGUACGUUUUAUAUAUUUUUAUUUAAUGAAAAUCCUUUGAAUUAUUAUUUAAUGAUUUUGAUAUUCUUUUUAGCACUUUUCCCCUUUAUGUGUCAAUGUUGUUAAUUUUCGAUGUUAUUUUUAAGGUAAAUGUAGCUCCUUUUUAUUGGAAUGUUUGAUGGCCUCACAAUUGAAUGUGCAUCAUUCGUUCUAAAUGAUAUCCUAAUUGCAGACCCUCAAGUAUGAUCCACUGGACAGUCUAGACUAACAGUUUUUUUCAUUGCCCGAUUUCGUGUGUUGGUAGUUACUUUUUGCAAACAUUUCUAUUCGUUUGUAAAAUUUAAAGUUUUAAAUGAGUUUUGACAUUGAAUGGAGGAUGGUUCCAUAGCUGUGCUUAUCGUUAAGAAGUAGAACUAUGUUUCAUAAUCAUUUUGCUUUUUUGCUGGUCAAAUAAGAGGUUUACUUCUUAAACUUAUUUCAACAAUAGGGUGUCAAGGGAAUCUCUGCAGAGUUUAUGCAAAUCUAUAGAAGCAGGGAAGUUGGUCAAUCAUAUGUAACUUCUGUCUGGACAACUUUAGUUGCUACGGCUCAUGCAUUGUGGCUAAUGAUUAAAAUCAGACCUCAAGUGGUAUUUUUCUGUUUCUGUUAUGUCCAACCAUUUUUUCCCCUUCCAAUCUUGUUACUUUUACUAAAGAAAAAUUCCAGAAUCAAAUUUCUUGUUAUAAACUUGACUUUAAUUGCAGGUUCUUUGCAAUGGCCCUGGUACUUGUAUUCCUCUAUGUGUAAUUGCUUUCAUUUUCAAGGUUUGUCUGUUUUCCCUGGAAGCCAUAUUAUUUUGUAUUGCCUUUCUCUCUUUGAUAUUACUGAUGGAAUUUUUCCAAAAGUUAAAUGCAUAAACAUUUCUACGUCUAGGAAAAUUGGAGUUAGCCAUUUUUCUUGUAAAUUUUGCUUGCAGGUUGUUGGGAUUAGAUGGUCAUCCAUAUUUUAUGUUGAGAGCAUUGCAAGAGUAAAAAGGCUCUCUUUAAGUGGUCUGUUGCUUUACAAGUUACAGAUUGCAGAUCAGUUCUUUGUGCAAUGGCCACAACUGCAGAGAAAAUACCCUCGAGCUCAUUAUGUUGGUUGCCUGAUGUAGUGAAUUAAGUCUGCUGCUGAUGGGUACUCUUACUUUAACUUCUAAGGUUUUUUUUUUUUACUUAAAUAGUGUAUUCAGCAACAUGGUCUGAAGUAGACCAUGAUAUUUGGCCAAAAAGAAAAAGUGAUAGAAUGCAACACGAUUCUUUUGAAAAUUUGACUCUAUUUGCUACAGUUGCACAUUAACAAAAGCAUGUUAUUUAAUAAUUCUAGCGUAUCAUUUCACUGCCUGAAUAUUAAGUCCUUAUAUUUGUUGGCAAAUAACUUCUGAGGCAUAAGUUUCUAGUUCAACAUUUCAAAAACCUCUUCAUGUGUUUCUCCAUUUAGAAGCUUUUGAUCAAGCCAUUGCAAGCAGUGCAUAAUCCAAAUGCAUAUUUCCUUCGGAGACUUCAGUGUGGCUUGCUGGACCAGUUCCGAAAUAUCAGGACAUAGUUAGUAGAACUAGUGAUUUGAUUAUAAAAGGAGUAAACUUUUGUGAAGGGAAAAGUUGAUAGUGGAAGGUGCAAGAGUCCAAUAGAAUGCACCAAAGCUAUGCUGCUUGCUCUUUGACAGUGCAAGCAACUUUUGGGUGCCUAGGUGGUGAGAGGUAGUUACCCAUAUGCUUUUCCCACCUUUAUCGUAGUAUAGUCAUCUCAAGAGUGUGGAUGCUGACUGGUCAAAGAUCACCGAAAGUGCAUACAUGAUGAUGAGAUCCACUUAUAGUUUCUGGGUUAAUGGCUCACCAGUUUCUUGCUAUUCAGAUGCUGAGGUGAGCUUUCUUCCUUGAUUGCUUGUGAGAUGGAUUUGGAGGUGGUAGAAGAAGUUUUUAAUCGUGAAGAUUAAUUAAUAUUGAGGAAGUGCAAAUUCUUUUAGGUUCUAAUUUGGUUGCUUAAUAUUAUUUUGAAGAUAUGCAAAUUAAAACGUUUCGUUUUGAUUGAUGAUAAUGGAAAGAUAAAUUAUAUGAUUUUGCUUGACUGAUUCAAUAUUGAACUAGUUUUAACUUUUAAAUAUUUUAUUGUCAUAACAAGAAAAAAAAUACAGUCAUUGUUUGCAAUAUUUACUGCUUCAUGACAACAGAUAAACUCAUAAGCUUCAUGCAGUUAGUGAAUUGAUUUGACCAUUUAUUUUCUUUGGUACAUCUUUAUUGGCAGUAAUUAAACUCUAGCAUCAUUAUCUUUCACUCAUUGCUUUAAGAAGAGGAAGCUUUUUAAGCUUCAUUAUUGACGUUUAUGUUGGUGUGUUCACUCUUAGACUCUCGGUCAUCAAGAUAAUGCUGGUAGACAUGUGAAAGAUAACAGCUAGGAUCGGAAUAACAUCAAGAUAGCAGUGCUGUGCUUCCAAUGGUGAAACCCUGCCAUAGUAUGCACAUCCAUACUAAAACCAUGAUAUAUGAUGUCUUUCCUAGUUCAUGUUCUUCCAUUUCUCCCUUUAGACUUUUCCAUUCUCCGGUAACAAAAAGUCCCAGCAUGAUUGCACUUGAUGCGACUAGUGACUGAUAAAACGAUUCCCUUUUUAUGACCUUCUGAAAGCAGAAAUGCGUCAGAGAAAGGUACAACCCGUUUCCUGCUGAUGCAACAAUGGUGCAUAUGAACCCGAUCACGCUCUUCCCUCUUGAAACUCCAUUUGGAGUUGACGAGUCUUCAUGAGACACGAGAAGGAUUAGAGAAUUGAUUACGGAAGGGGUGAACUUUUGUGAAUUGAGAAAAUAAGAGAAGAAAACAUUGAAAGCUAACUGUGAUGCAUAGAUGAGUGAAUAUUUAGACACGGGAAGGUAUCACAACCCCAUCGAGUAAAGAAAGCAGUAUGUUGCUACAAGUAGGCCAAUGGAGAUAUAAAUCGACGCUAGAACCAGGGCGGAUGGUGGGGGAACUGUGCCAGAAUUGGUUGCAGUCGGAGUUUUUGAGAGACAAGAAGCAAUAGUAAGAAUGAGAAUAGGGAAAGCCUGCGAGUUGCAUAAGUGUUGCUAACCAUUGGCUCUUUCCACCUUUCUCAUAGUACAGUCUUCCCAACAACAUAGCGAUUGACUGGCCAGAAAGCACGAAGAGUACAUACAAACCUAUCCGUACCCAAUGUUUAUAGUUUUUGGGCGCUAUUGAUGAUGGGUUUGUUGAAACCAUAGUUUGUUCCUUCGAGUCUGUUCUUCAUUCUCCUGAACAGGUAAGAAAAUCGCACAAAGGAAUUCACUUAUGAUGCCUACAUCGGUGUUUUUGAGGUAGAAGUAUCGUGGAGGUUCCUAUGUUAGGAGGUGGAUUCUAUUUUGCUCCUAUUCAAAAAAAUGAGUAAAUAAAGUAUUGUAUAUUAGAUUAAAGAGUAAAUUGGUUCUGGUAAAAAAUUCAUUCAUUUUCUUUGUUAAAAAUUGGUCCCGGUCAACAUCAUAUCCAAUUUUUAAUAUAAGAAAUUAAUUAUUACUGAACUGUACUAAAUCGGUUCAGAUUUUGGUUUCUCUAUUGUUUUUGGGCUUUAAGCUUUUGGACUUUAUUAAAACAAAAUUGUCUUUAGAUUUGAACUUUUCAAUUUUAAUUAAAUAAAAUUAUCUUUGUUUUAUGUUUCUUAGACACUAUUUGACAAUUUAAUUUUUUUAUUAUACAAAAAGUCUCAAUCAAUAUAUUUAUCUCAAAAAUAAUUUGUAAAAUCUAUAAUUAUAAAUGUUUAUUAAAAAUCUAAUUAAACCUUGGUGUAAUCACUCUCAAUUUUUACUAAACAUGAUCAAAUGUUAAAUUAUUUGUAUUUUAUAACUUUUAAUGUGUAAUGACAGCAAAAAAAACAACAAUAAUGAUAGAAAAAAUAACAUAAUAAGUAAAAAAAUGACGAGGACUUGAAUUCUUGGAAGUUUUAACAGCAAUAAUAAAUAAGCAAUGAAUUAAUGAGAUAUUGACGCUUGAAUUUUUAAAUGGUUCUUUUUAAACUUUUCGAUGUCCAAUGGAAUAAAUCAAAAUUGAACCAAAUUGAUGUGGUUUAAUGACAUCAUUUAACCAAAAUCGAAUUAAACCGAAUUGUUGAUUCGACUCGAUUUCCCAGUUUGGUCGGUUUUGUUUGCUCAACUCUAUCAACAUGAGAUACAUGUGACAAGCCUCGUGGCAUUGUCUAGAUAUUCUAUCAACCUUAUCAGAUUUGAACUGCAUAAAUGAGUGAAUUUUUUUAUAGAAAAGACCAAAUUGCUCUUUGAUAUAACUAUGAGAAUUAAUUUAUCUACUUUUUGAGUAGAGGAAAAAAAAUAUAAUUUGACUCCUAAUACAAUGACCUCCAUUAUAAUUUUAUCGUGUUUUUGAUUAACUUUAUAAAAGGUUUAAUUUUUCUCCAAUCUUUAUAUUGAUUGAAUUUUUAAAAUUUAACUUUUUUUUUAAUUUUAAUUCAAGAAAUAUAUUUUCUUAUAUAAUUUAAAUUUUUAAUUAAUAACACUGUUAAAAUGAAGUUGUGAAUUGCAAUUGCUAACACAAAUUCAAAUGAAGUAAAUUUAACGAAUGAUGUACUUGGCCUACAUGCUACUCCCAACUUUUCUUUUAAAUGUUUAUGUACAAAACCUAUAUUUAAUAUAUGUUGAAACACAAAUACAGGAUAUGACUUUUCAACUAUCCUUCAAAUAUAUAAAAUUUACUUUUAAAAAAUUUAAAAUCUCCAUAUCUAAUGCUCAUACAAUGAGUAACAUAGUAGCUAUGUAUGUGUAUUUAACCAACCUGUGAUUGGCUGUGGCAGUGGCUUAGCUUCUCCCAUGUUAAAAGACGAAGAAAGUUCCUCCAAGCAAGAUCUAAAUUAUGUGGAAAGGAAAGGGCAAACAGACAAGAUUAUAUAUAAGGUUUUUUUUUCCCUUUUUCUUUUUUAACAUAAAAUCAACACAAUAGGACCCCCAAAGAAAGUUGAUUUAUGCAUUGUUUUAAUGAUAAGGAGAUGCUCGAAUGAUUUUAGAGGUUAGAACUUAUUUAAAAGUUUCAAAUUUGAAAAGGAAUUGAGUUUAGUCCGCAUCAAGGAACAUUAACUUAAAUACAUAUUGUAUUCUCAUAAUUAAUUAGAGGUUUUAGGUUUAGGAUAAAGAUGGUAAAAAUAAACUUGAAAUUGAAGAGUUUAGAGUUGAUUUGACUUGAUAUGGUCGAGUUUUUUGUUUUAAAAUUUCGACCAGGUCAAGUUAAUUUUAGCGUGAAAUCACUUCGCUCAACUUAAAAUAUUUACGAAAUUACUCUUCUAUAUAUUUAAUAUUAUUUAGGUUAAAAAAUUCUUAAAAUUUAUUACUAUUAGCAUCAUUUUAUAUCAGUUAUUCUCCUCCUCUCUUUUUAAUUUAUUUUCUCCAGUUUCUCUUUCAUUUUCAUUCAUUAUUUUUUCUUUUGUGAUGUAAUGUAUAUUUUUUACUGAGUCAAAUCCCUACUAAAAGAAUGAUAAAACAAAUCCAAUGGGAAGUUGUGCCAAUUUCUUCUUAAAUAUUUUAUUUUAGUUUAAGCUUGGGUGGAAUUAGAUUGGGUUUGGGUUAGACCUGUCCAUGGGUCGGGCCCGGAAAAAAUUUUGGCCCGAAUCUUAGGCUCGGGCCCAGCCUAAAAUAUGGGCUUAAAAUUUUGCCCAGGUCCGACUUGGGAAAAAUAAUAAGCCCGAGCCCGGCUCGAUUUUUAAUAAACACAAAAAAAAUAUUUUAAAAAUAAAAAAUAAAAAUAAAAAUAUUUUUAAAGUGUUUUAAAAUUAAAAAAUAAAAAUAAAAAAUAUAUAUUUAUUAUAUUCGGGCCGGGCCGGGCUCGGGUCAAAAAAGUUGAGCCUGAGCCCGGCCUAUUUUUUAUACGGGCCUCAUUUUUUUGCCAAAGCCCAUAUUUUGGGCCUAUAUUUUUGCCCGACCCCUCCCAUAUUUCGGGCGGGCCGUCGGACCGGGCGGACAGGUCUAGUUUGGGUAUACAAUUAAUUUUUAGGUUUGGAAUGAGUUAAAAUUUUUAAGAUCAAAAUCAGGUCGAAAUUGGGGCAUGACAAUAAAGUAUCAGAUUAGGGUCGAACAAGUAAAAAUUCAAACCGCCCCACUCUGUUGCCAUCACUAAUUAAGGGUAAAUUAAAAAAUAUAUUAGAAAUAAAAAUUCAAAUCCAAAACUUGCAAUAAAAUUUUGUUUUAGCGUUUAACUAAAUAAUCAAUUUUUUUUAUAUAAUGUUAAAAUCAAUCCAUAGUCUAUAAAUAUAAAGAUAAUACAUUUCAACGUACUUGAACUCACGUCCUUCUGUAUUGGCAAUAAUAUCUAUGCCAAUUGAACUAAAACUUAAUCGGCAUGUAAUAACCAAUUAUUAUAUAAAAAAUUUAUGUAAAAAAAUGGUUGUGGGUUAAUUUUGGUUUUAAAGUGUUAUAUUAGAGAUUUUAUAUAAAUAUAUAAAAAAUGAAAAUAGUUAAUAAUAUUAAUUAUUUAAUAUAAAAUUUUCUUUAAAACACCAAUUUUCAUAUCGUCAUGUUAAUAUUAAAUAUGUUUAUGGGCGGUUCGGUCCGGGUCAAUUCGAUUAGUACAUUUAAGAGAAUUAAGUAAAGUUAUCAGUAUCACACUUAUAUAGAUGUAAUAAUUUUGUUUUGGUAUUGACAGUAUCAGUAUUUUGAUAUCUCAUUUCAUUUAUAUAAAUGUCGCUUAAUUUUUAGUUUCUUAAUACCAUAUAUUAUAUAUAAAUGUGAGUAUACAUCAAUUACAUACAUGUAAAUAUAUUCAUGUGGAAAUAUAAAUUUUAAAUUUAUGAAAUAAAUUCAAUAAUUUAAUUUAAAUUAAUUUACUUUUAAAUGUAAUUAUAAAAAUAAAAAUAAUUUAGAUAAUACAUAUUAAAAUUUGAUUUAAAAUAUUUUGUACCAAUAAGUACGAGUAUGUAUAUAUCUAUAUAGACCAAUAUUAAUCAAAAUGGAGCGAAAUAUAUUGAAAUAAUUAAAAUGUAACAAAAUUUUUAUUAGAAUUUAACUAAAACUAAUUGGCAUUGAUUUAGAAAGUGGACCCCUUGGUUUAAAUGGUUAAAUUACUAUGUUAAUCCUUCUUAAAAAAAUAUAAUUUAAUUUAAGUGUUUUAAUGUAAACUUUAUGCUUUUACCCCAAGUUUUUUUAGUUUUAUUUUGGCCUCCCUAACACCAAAUUCUCUCUAUACAUAUUAGCCCAAAAUGAAAAAAUUUUCAUUAAAAUUUUUAAUUUUAAAAAAUUAUAAAUUAAUAUCAUGAUAAAAUUAUAUUUUUAACCUUUUAAAUUUUAUUUAUUUAUUUAUGAUCCUUCUAAAACAGUUUAAAAUGCUAAAAUGGCAUUACAUAUAACAUAGGGAUAGGGCGAUAAAGUGUGAUGUAGGUCAAAAGUCCUUCACUUCUAUUAUAACAUGAUGAUGUGAAGUAGCAAUGGUAAAUUAAAACUAGUAGCUGUAAAAGCAAAAUAGACAUGUUUAGGCUACAAUGUGUUUAAAUCAUUAAAGUUGGCAUCUAAUGAUUAUGGGGUGCGUGGAAAAAAGCCUGGAUACAAACUAUCAGCCGGUGCCAACAGACCAUCAAGUUUACCUGCUACCAGCAGGGUGGACUCAUUUUUGGUGGGUUGAUAUUCUACCUAAACCUGACCAUUGAAUUAGUAUAAAGUUUUAAGUUUGGAUCAGUUCAAUCUAAAAAAAACAUGUUUAAAAUUUUAUUUAAGUUUGACUCAGAUAAAAAAAUAUUAAACUUAAGCUCAGUUCAGCCUACUCAUAUUAAUUUUUUAUAUAAAAAUAAAUUUUAAAAAAUACAAUACAUAAAAUACACUAAAAAUAUUUCCCAACAAAAUUAAAAAUACAUUAAAAAAUAUUUAUACUUAAAUAACACUAAGAUAGUUACAACUUAGCAGGUAAAUGCCUCUAAAAUAAUAGCAAAAAUUAAUAAUAAAAUAAGAAUUAUACAAUAUUUAAAAAAUUACAACAAAAUAACAUCAAAAUGAUAGUAAAACAGCAAUAAGAAAAAUCUAGAUAAAUUUGAGCCAAGCUAAACUCAAGUCAAAAAAUCUUACUUGAAGCGUAACCUAUUUAAAAAUGUGUCAUAUUUUUUUGUCUAAAUUUAUUUAUUAGGCGUAUAUUUUUGUCAUAAACUUCUUACUUUUUGACAAACCUUCAAGACCGGGCUCAUUAUCAGGUAUAAUUCCACUUAACUGCUGCCGUCAUCAACCAUGCAUCGUAGCCAACUAGCCAUGGCGAACCCUUUAUUUGGUCUCAGAUGAUCCAAGUAAAUUAGCCCAUUUCUCAAUUCAACACUUUUUCACGGGCCUCCCUGUUCUGUUUUCAAAUUUCUUUCAUUUUUCAUAAAUAUUUUUAAUAUCUGUAUUUGUAUACAAUUUUUUAAAUAUUCAUACUUAAAAAAUUAUGUAUUAAGAAAUUAUCAUUUAGGGUCCAUUUGAAUAGAUGUUUAUUGCAUUUAAUUUUUUUAUUUCAUAUUACAAUAUCGUUACAAUAUUUAAUUUUACUAUCAUGAUUAUUUUUACACUAAUCACGUAGAACUAAGAUUAUAAGAAUAACAAAUUCUGACUUUUUUAACCCGCAUUCAUUUUAUAAACAUCUUAAAUUUUCAAGCUCAAUUAAUUUAGAUCCAUUAUAAAAAAAAUCAACAAAGUUAAUUUAUAAUAAAAACAAUAAUAUUAAUUAUGAUAAAUUUUAACUUGAUUAGGCAAAUAAUAAUAUAAAACUAAAAAGAAAAAGGAAAAUAUAAAAGCUACCAAAAAAAAAAAGAAGAAGCGUCGAUUCCACGAUACACAAAAAUCGUCAAAAACCAGGUGAAGCCGGCCCCACACAGCUUCUUCUUCCCAAUCACGCGUGCAUCCAACCGUCACUUUCCCUUCCGCAUUAUACGGAAAUGCCCUUAAUCCAACGGUUCAUAUCUCUCCUCCUUUCACUCCCCCUAACUUCACUUAUCCCUAUAACAAAUCCCAACUAUUUUUUUUUUAUAAACAAAUAAAAAAGAGGAAAAAUUAAUUGCUCACACACCCAAACUCUCUUAAUUACCUCUGCAACUUCAUUCAGCGCAAAUCUAGGGAUUUUUUUUUCUUAUAGCACCAUUUUCCCCUAUCCCGUCUUCUUUUUUGGCUGCUUCCACUCCAAUCUCUCGAUUUAUUUUGUAAGGAUUUUAAUCUUAUUCUUUUUGCCAGAUUUUUUUUCCUUAUUUUGAGCUAUCAUAAUAUUGUGGCUUAAGUAAUAUAGGUUUUUUUUUGGCUAGUAUGUAUGCUUCUCUCCGUGUUCUUUCUUCCCUUUCCUUUGCAAUUUAUUUUUUAGUUUUACUGAGAAAUUUACUAUUUUUUUUUAAAAAAAAUAAUGUUUUCUUUUGAUGGAAAGUGAGUUUCUUUUUUCUUUUUAAGUUCAGCUAUUUUUAAUGUUUAUUUUUCUUUUUGAUUUCUCUUAGAUUUGUAUCAGCUACUAAAUAGAACUUCAUUCAUUGUCUUUUUCCUUUAUGAUUCUUAGAUCCACUGGGCUUGAAUUAUUAUUGAGCCCUUUGUUUAGUUGAUUUAUUUUUAUUGAAGAUCCCUUGGUUUAACUGCUAUUUCAAUAUUUUUAAAUUAGUGCUAAUUCUUUUUUUCUUUUGGUUGCAGGCUAGAAUUUAUUAAUCACUUUGGGGGUUGAACUGAAGAUAAACAAAAUGCCGUGGUCUUUGGUUUAUCGUGUUCGAAUGGUUGUUUUCUUUCUUAUCAUACUGUAAUUUAUUUUGGGUAAGUUUUGUGAAUCUAGAACUUCUAUGAAUUUUAAUUCCCCUUGUUAUAAUUCGGUUGGGGUGACGAUUAAUUGCUUAUGUUAUAAUUUUGCUGAAUAAAAUGUAGUUUAAAUCCUAAUGUGCAUUGUGUUUGUAUGUCAUAUUUAAUAAGGAAUUAUUAUAUUGUUGUAGGUGAAUUUCAAUUGAAUUUGGAAUUGGAAGGGGAUUCAAUUCAUUCAAUUUAGCGUCGUUGGAUAUUGAUAAAAUUUUGGUUGGAGAGGUUUGAGAAUGUUCAUUGCAGCAACCACAAAGAGAUAUCGUGCAGUUAAGGAAGUCGGGAAGAUUAAAAUGAGCGUUGGUGUUAUUGCAUACUAUCAAUUAGUUCAAGUUUGUCAGGUAAAUUUGUUUUUCUUACCGCUGUUGCAGUGUGUCCUUGGAAAUGCAUAAAAAAAACUGUCUUAAAUAUAUCCAUGUGUGCCAUGUCAACUGUGGUUUUAUUACUAAUUUUGCGGUCACAUGAUUUUAUUAAGUUGAUAUGCCUCUUGGUUUUUAGUUUUUCAAUUGACUGAUUAGGAAAGUAUGUCUUCUUAAUUCACCCAAGAUAUAAUUAAUGCACUAUAACAAUGUGCACGGACCAAGCACAUUUGUGAACAGUUAUGCAUACAUAUACAGGUAUCAUAGUGAAGAAAAAUAAGUUAUUUUAUAAAUCUGAGCAAUGCUUUUUCAUUGACCUUUUCAUGUAAAUCUGAGCAAUUGUGAGCACAGUGAAUCUGGACACGGAGAAAACUUGUAAACUUUUAACCAUUUUAACGAGCUUCCUAUGGAUCUGUUCAUUUAAUCAAGUAAUAUCAGAUAGAUUUGCGGACAAAAGAAUAUUUUUGUUGUUCUCUGGACAUAAUCUCUGUGUGCAUUUUGUUAUAGUUCUAAUGAUUUUUUAUUUUGCUAUCACAGGCCGAGUAUUUCCGUCAGUUGCUAAAACCAGUUACGUAGUCUAGUAGUUAGCAACUCUUGGAAAUUGGGAUCUGGGGGAGUCUUCCAUUUGGUUGUUUUAUACGUAGGCUUUCAAAGAAUGAAAUAUCUGAUAUUGUUGAUGGGAAAUUGGGGAUAGGCAGCUCUUGUCUUGUUUUGAUGGCGAUCCACUAGUUUUAGUCUGUAGUCUUUCCGUAAUUAUAGCUAUAAACCUCCUUCCAACUUAAAAAUAAAUAAUUUUAAGUUCAAAACCAAGUUUAAACUUCUCGUUAAGUAGAAAAUAAGAUGCAGAGUGACCAACAAUUUUACCCCCAAAAAGCAGUGCCCACACUUGCAGAUCAAGUGGCCAAUAAUUACAUGCAUAUCCCAGUUGCAUCUGCUUUUGGACCAGUUUUUCCUCCAUGUGCAAAACACUUGCCGCCCCUCCAUGGCAUUGAGUUUCAACCCUCUGAGGUUUGUCCCAAGAACUUUGUUAUUUUCAAUCAGACUGAUAAUAGGAACCAAGUCUUGUUCAACCCGGCUAUCACAAACAAGUUUCAUGGUAAUGAAUUAAAUGUUUUUGCAAAUUACAAUGAUGGCAAGUAUGAGAGGAAAGAUGUUUAUGAUGUGGGAGAAGAAACAUCCUCUUUUCUGAAAGAGGAUUCGGAUGAUAUUGAUGCACUGCUCAGCUCGGAAGAGGAAGAACAAGUUGAGUACGAUGAGGAAGUGGUUAGCACAGCCCGGACCUUUGGAAAUUAUGAAUUCGACACUGCUGAUUCUCGCUCUGCUCAUGGCUCGAAACCAAAAAAGAACAAGUCUUCCUCUUAUACUCUGAAGUCUUCUGGUAAUAGCAGUUGUUGUGACCCUGAAAUUAAGCGACUGAAAAUGAAGGAAAUGGUGAAGGUUUUAAGGGGAAUCGUUCCGGGUGCUGAUGAGAUGGAUACUGUUGCUGUUCUCGAUGGAGCUGUUAGGUACCUCAAGUCUCUCAAGGUUGAAGUACAGAAGCUCGGAGUUGGGAAUUUCAAAUAUGAAGAUUGAACCCAAAUCAUGGUAAUGAAGUUCUCACCUUUGUAUACCUCUCCAUAACUGGCCUCUCUCUAAUGGUUUGCAGUCUAGAAAUAAAGAAGACAGGUAUUAGAAUCAAUAUUUGUGUUGUUGUAUGCAUGAACUCUGGUUGUGUAAUAUGAGUACCACCAAGUACCAAGUUUCUAGCUGCCUUUAAUAUCAUUAUGGCACAAGUAGUUGCUUUGAAUGUUAUUGUACUAGUAGUUUCUACUUUCAACUCUGUCUUAUUUCUGUAUUUUACGUACUUUAUGUUUAUUCUCAGUUAUGAAUAAAUGUUACAAGAUGUUAUUGGGGGACAUGAGUGUUCAUUGUGAUGCAUGCAAUUGCAGACUACAUUUUUCUCUCUCCCCCACAAUCCUGGUGACCGGUAGUAGGUACGCAGUGGUUUUUAGUGGCGCAACGCCCGACCUUUUUACCUGUUCUCUAGUUCCUGGCAUGUAUUGAGUUAGACUUAUAAAUGAACAUAUAUUUAUGUUUGUUUAUUUUUAAGUUAGCUUGUGUUCGGUUUAUGCUUGUUAAGGAUUUCAAAAUUGUUUUUGUAGUUGUUUAUUUAAAAGUACACAUGUUCGUGAGUUUAUUUGUGCACGUUAAACGGACAUAUUUACAAAACAUUAAACGUAUAUAUUUGUAAACAUGAACAUAUAAUUGAACAUGUUCAUGAAUAAUAAUAAAUAAUAAUUAAACAUCUAUAUUUAAAUUUUUACCAAAAUUUAUAUAUAUUUAGAUGUAAAAAUAAUUAAGUAUAAAUUUUAAUAAUUAUAUUAUGUAUAAGUAAAAUAAGCACAUAAGUAAUAAUAUUAUUAAUUAUAUAAUAAUCAAACAAUAAAUAAUUUUUAAACAAACUUAUUAAUGAAUAUGAUUGAAUUGAAUAAAAAUUUGAAUUAUUUAUUUAACUCUUUAUUCCAUAUUAUAAAUCAAAAAAUGUUAGAUGUAGUGAGAGAUGCAUUGCAUUUUUAAAGGAUUUUAAAGGGAAAACAUAAAUUCAAACUUAUUAUUGAAAAAGACAGCCGAAUACCGAACAUGGAUUGUAAAACGUAAAUUGUUAAGUGUAUGAGCAUGUUGAAAAACGUAAUUUGUCAUGAAUAUGAGCAUGUAUGGUGUAGUUGGAUUUCCUUUGGCAUCACUCAUCAUUUGUAACUAAUUAGUUUUCAACAUUCAAUUGGUUUCGUCAGCUUUAUAUUAUGUUAUAUGGGAAGUGGUGGAAACUAGUGGAAUAAAUCAAGUGGAAACUGGAGGGAACUAACUCUUUCCUCUGACUUGAGUAUGACCAAAAGUAAUGGCUACUAAAUAAAAAAGGAGGCCCACGAAAGGUGCUAAGCAUGUCCUUCAUUAAAUUGGCCACCCACAAGACCCAUGCCGCAGAUCAGCCAAUAGGGUUCCAACGAUGCAAGGGUGGACACAGUUGACUCUCGGUGAUUGUGAGGCUACUUUUAGUGAAACAGGCUGGCUUAUUUUGCAGCAAGUGACGCCUAGAAUCAACACCAUAAUCAUUAUAUAUGCCAACAUAAAUAUAAAAAAGUGUACAUAUAUGGGGUUGAGGCAAGACAUGAGAGGAGGAUGAAUAAAAAGGAAGCUGCUAAUGGUACCCUACAGAGUGUGGUGAAUGCUAAAGUGGCAAAUCAAAUUGUCUUUACAAUUGGACCAACUAUGGGAAGAAAAUUAUCUAGCAUUCCGUUGCUAUUUACAUUCUCUAAAAUGUCAAAACAUGGCAAUGGCAACCUUUCGGAUGGUAUUCCGACUGCCUUGUAAAGUCAGCAACUGUACCCUUUUGAUCACCCUGCUCAUUUUGGCAAUCUGAACUCUUUAUUUGAUCCGGUUGUUCUGAUUCCGAGCUCACAUUGCCCGCUUAAGAAGAUAACCGCAUGUAUUUUUGUAUGAAAAGAUCAAUUAUAUAGGACUACCUCUUGAUACCUGCACUCACGGAGAAGUUCAAGUCACCUAGCAGUGGGGCGCAGUAUAAAAGAUGUUGCAGUUCAUGCAAUAAUAUCAACCACGUGCAAGUCACUAUGGAAACACAUCAUAGAGGCGAAAGAGCAUCGCUCCAUGUAUCGUUUUAAACUAACUUAUGUAAAAUAUACCUAACUGAUGUAAGAUUUGGUGACUAUUGAAUAUGUACCAUUGUUUCUCGAAACUGAACGAACUUGACAUCAUCCAAUCUUUACAUUUCUAAAUGGGGUAAAGCAACAUUUAGUCCUGAACUUGGUAACUUUUCCCAUCUUAGUCCUUGAACCUUUUUUGGUCUACGUUGGUCUUGGAACCUAGCAACUUCUAUAAAAAAUUAUAAUUUUUUAUAAAAAAUUUAGGUGAUGACGUGACGUAAUCUCAGAAUACGUCAUACAGGGACCAAAAUCGGAAAAAGUUGCAAGCUCCAAGAAUAACGUGGACAAAAAAAAAGUUCAGAGACCAAGUUGGAAAAGUUGCUAAGUUCAUGGACUAAAUGUUGCUUUAUCCCUUUCAAAAUAUACAUCAGCACAAGCUAUUGGUUUUAAUUCUCAGCUACCAUUGACUCGAUUAGCAUUUGGGUAGUAUUUUGUACAAACCAGUCCCUGAUCAUAUCAUAUAUCAGAACCACUCCAUGAGGUAUAUCUGAUAUAAAGAUAAUAUUAUGCUAAGAAAUUCCUGGUACUGGUAGGUAGCAAUAGCAAGACCACAUCUCUCAUCUAAAUACAAGUGAAAGUUGAACAAUCAGGCUGACAUCAAGAACAAAAAUAUGCAUGAAUAAGCAAAUUCUGCGUAAUCCUAAUGUAUAAACAAAUAAGACAUGAACCUGAUUCUGUGAGCUUGCAGAGGUAGUCCAGUUCUGAGGACGGCGGAUUUGAGCUGAACUAUCAGUAAUGAAAGUUACUGUCGUUGAUUCUUCUUGCGUGUUAGCUAGUGUCAUGGGCGGUAAUUCUCUCAUGACCCAUAAUACAAAAGCUGAGGGCACCGAUGAACCUAUAAAAGCAAAAUGAAGAUCACGUUAUAAACUCAACAUCGUUACAUACUUUUUUCCAUAAGGCAGCCAAGAGCAUGAAAAGAUAGGACAGUAGAGCUUUUAUGUUUCACUGUUUCAAAUUCUGUUGUCAAGAAAGCAUAAUCAUGGCUAUUGCUAGAUGAGGCGGAAUAUUCAGAAACAUGAAAAUGCACAAAAAAUAUUUCUAAUAACGAUUUGAUGCUAGAUAUGGAUCAAAUAGUAUAAAAUGUUUAGGAUAUUCCAUGCUCCAAAAGCUGAUUUCCAUAAACGACAAUUGGAAGCUGUUAGUUUAAUUAGGAGCAACCUUUGAAACUUAAGGGAGAGUUGAAGGAAAUACCUAUAAAAUAAUAUAAAAUAAGUAAAAGAGAAGUAUAAACACCAUCUAUGUGCAGUUCAUGCCAGUGAUACAGCACCUGCAAUCACAAAAACACGAUUUAAGUUCAAUAAGCUAGAAAAUAAAACAUGGUAAAAACAAACAGUAGAGAGAUGUGUACCGGAAUAUCAGUAAAAAGAGCCACUAAAGCACUUGAUGUAAAACUUAGAACAGAUACAAUGGCCAAACCUGCAACCUACGUAAACCACAUGAAAUAUUUAAGGCAAAGAAAUAAGAUAACUAUAAAGCCACCGGAUAUAUGCAUCAAAGGUAAGCAUAAACGCCAAGGAAUGGUAAAUAUUCUAACUUGAGAGCAAAAUGAGAAGAACAAAGAAAAUGGCACGAAAAGUUGAAAACAUGAAGGUUAGUAUGACAAUACCUUCCAGAUCUCAGAUGAAGCUCUUUCAGAUCUAACAUUCCUCAUUUUCCGACAUAAUAGGAGCCCUGAGCAUAAGAAAGAAUAAAAACGUGACUCUAUUUAAGAGAGAAGAAAAUAUGUAAGAUAAAAGGACUCAUCUAUUCUGGUGACAUUUAAGAAGUACAAACUAGUCAAUUGAUUACAAAGACUAACCAAUAAAGUUUUCAGACAUUUAGGCCAGCCAUAAGUCAUGUUACCCAUCAAACUAGAAUGCUGUUUUUGAUACAAUGCCUACUUCUACCCAUAAUACCUUAAGCAUACUUGACCCCACAUCCUCCUAAUUGCUACAAUGGCAAUGGUGCCAACUGCACUAGAGCAUAAUCAGCAAACUAGAAUGCAGUUAGAUACUAUGGAUGGGGGAGCUGACACAUAUGACUUCUAGUAUUUGGUUCAAAUACGAGGAAUAAUAAAGUCUGGUUAGCCUGAUGUUAGGCAUUUUUGCAAUCACAAAGUUAUCCCGAUAGGGGAAAAAAUUUCAUAUAAUAUAAAAAGAAAAUUAGAAAAUUAUGAAGAAAAAGAAAAGUAUAUAUAAAUGCUAAUUGCUUACCAUAACAUGCUAAUGCUGCACCUAGCAAUAGUAUUGCUGUAGCAAAAAGAUCUACAUAAACCUGCAGGAGAUAGAUAGUACUUCAUGGCUUCGCUAGUAAUAAAAGAAAUAAAGAUCAGAAAGAAAUUCCAUAAGUACAAGUUUUCAUUGUCUCUUUUUAUUUUCUAAGCAAUAAACUAAAAGGAAAAAGAAUUGCAAAUACUUUCUCCACCAAAACCUUCUCUCUGACAAUCAGACUUAUUGAUGGUACUCUAAGAAAACAAAAAUAGUUCAAAAGAAAAUAGCUUCUUAGACGUUCAUACCCGGGACACGGUUGAUGAAUCAAUAGGAUUUUCUUCCAUUCCAAUCCAGAUUAGCACGGCAAAUGUCAUCAUAAGAAGAAAUACAAGAACAGUAACCUGGUCAUAGAAAAACAGAAUAAAUGAGACCAAAAACAUCAGGUAACAGCGAGAAUAAUAGAAACAUUCAAAAUAAUUUCGCAUGAAGACUGUAACAAGAAACAAAAGAAGAAAAUAUAUCACUAUACCAGAACCACUAUCUUUUGACGGCUUCCAACAUGAAUUAAACGGAAAGGAUAACAUGAUCUGCGACUAUCUGCAGGCGAAGACCUUGGUCUAUUUAAAGAAUUUUGUAUUAAAGCUUCUAGAAAGCCCUGUUCAUCAUCCUCUUCCUCUUCAUCAUCUGCCUGGUGGCAGAGGUCGACCCUAUAAAAAAUCCGCCAGAGAGACAUGGGGUAUAGCUGAUGAAGAAACACUAAUUUUCACUCUGAAAGAAAAUAUGAUAGUAACUAAAACUAUCAAAGGAUAUUAUCCUGACUUAUGAAAACACUAAGCUUCAGUACCACUGCAAUGGAUGACCCAGGGAAAAGUAAAAAAGAAAAAGAAAAAGAAAAAGCUGUCCAUUAUAUUAAUUGGUCAAGACAUGAAGCCACUAAAAUCGAUCUCCCUUUUCUUUUUUUCCACUAACAAAAGAACAUAUCUAGAUUCUUGCAAAUAUCUCUGAUUUUAGCGAUCACAUUUUCCUUAUAUCUGAAAAAGUAAUCUAAGAUACAUGACCAUAUUUCAUCCAAAGAAAUGCAAAUAAGUUAGAUAAAGAGAAGACAUACCAGAAUGACAAAAGUAGAAGAAAUGUUGCAAAUAAUAGAAUUCUGGGGAAGGCUGCAACAAUAUUUGCAUCGGUUAGUGCUUAAACUAAUCAGCUCCAGUGAAAGAAAUAAGUGUGGGAUCUUAUUACAAGCAUCUACACAUACCCAUGGCUACAAAACCACAAGAGUAAGACCAGCAUAGCCACCCUCGGCAUGCAGCAACAAGACUCAAGACAAAAUAAAUGAAGUAACCUGCGUGUAGGUGAUCAUUUGGCAGUUCAGUUUGGAUGAUUUAAAUCAUGCUAUGCAUGCAAGGUCAAAAAGAUAACAUGAGUGUAAAAUAUAAAUUCUUACCAGUAUUAGUAGUUCCAAUCAGUAUAUGAAACACCUGUUAUAGACAUUCAUUUGGGUCAAGAACAAACCAGUACACGUAGAAAAAGAAAUCAACGAAAUAACUUUUAUGUAACACAAAUUAGAGAAGAAAAACAAGUAGGAAAGAAAAGGAGGAAAGGGGGAAAAAGCAUUAACACAUUAGUCAUAUAUAUAUAUCUUUUGCUUUACAUAUAUGCACAUGAAAGCAUGGACCUUAAUAAACAUCGUCUUGAGCUCAACCCCGAGUUUAUCUUCUGCUUCAACUGGACUAUAUGUAAGUUUGAUUAUUUCUUUUCUCCAUUCCAAAAAAUCCCCAAAUGGUACAGCACGUUUGCUGAUUGUCCCAUAAAAUGGCCAGAUAAUAGAUUAACAAUUUAACUUCAUUUUUUACUUAAUUAGGUUCCUAGUUUUCAAACUUGGUCACUAAACAGCUUACAGCAAAUUAUUAGUAAUUAUUUAAUGUUUUAUCACACAUUCCUUGGAGGAUAAAAAGAUACAAGAUUAAAAUGAAGUACAGGAGUCCAACCGUGGGUUUUCU
rnacentral:lncRNA from 1 species